AUGAAUCUAGCCCGUUCUGCUGGAUGUAGCAAGAUUGAAAUCAACUCCGACAGUGUAGAGGUGGUUGAAGCUUUAAAAGAGGGCAAUUCUUCUUCAGUUGCUAGUGCUAUAUUCGAUGAUUGUUACUUCAUGUCAUUAGAUUUCAAUCAAGUCAUUUAUGAACAUUGUAAUAGAGAGAGCAAUCAAGUAGCUCACGAAUUGGCUAGGUUAGCUAAGUUUUCUCCUCCUAGUUGUUGGAUGGAUACUGCCCCUAGUGCGGUUAUUCCCUUUCUUGUAAGCGAUGCCACUAUUUUGAUCAAUGAAUAA
rnacentral:rRNA from 1 species